rnacentral:lncRNA from 1 species
UUUUUUUUUUGUCUUUUUGAACUGAAACGCACUGUGAUUCGUGAGUACGUUUACACUAGACUAGAAAAAUAAGGGAUGUGAUAAUUAAAUGAGUCCAUCUGUGGUGAAAAUGUCCCCAAUAUUGAAAACUAUGCAAAUUCAUUCAAAAACAUACCAAACAAGUUUCCAAUUUUGAAAUUUUGCGUAAAUGGUAAUACAUCCAUAUUCUACGUACAUGCAAAAUCUUACAUUCCAAAUUAGUUAGACCAUCUCAAUGGAAAUUUCAUAUUUAUGUUUCCAAGAAUGCCACACAAGUAAAUUGGUAUUUAAUUCAUAGUUGAAAUAGCUCCAUACAAUGUAAGUUUCAUUGUUAUUGUUUCUAAGUCUACAUGCAAGACCCAAGGUAUCUUGGAAAUAAUGUAUACGGGUUUCAUGGUUAUGAAACUCAUUUCACAUCUUCUUUCAUUAAUUCUUUGCCACAUCAUCAAAAAUAUUGACGUGUCAGUUUAAUUAAUGAGAAUGAAACUCCCACUGAAAAUAGCCUUAUAUAAACGCCAUCCAAAAGUGCAUGGAACUCUUUUCUAAUAAUUAGUGAUAACUAAUUCCUUUUCCUUCACCGUUUAUAUGAUCUAGAAAUUUUUAGGAUCGUAUUUCUUGCGGGAGGGAGUACGCGUCAAUUUGUUUUGUCAAUUGCAUAUGGCAAUAGCGCGACGUAAAAAAUUCGUCCUUUUUCUUACCUUUUUUUAUGCCAACGAAUUUAGACAUGAUAUUCUGGGUGUAUGCGUGACAUGUACGCUUCUACAUCUUUGUAGUGUUUUCAAAUUUUUGAAAAGCAGUUGGUAUGUUUUUUAAUUAAUUUUUAUCGUUUCCAAUAUUUGAGACAAUUUUUCUGUGAUGACUGGGCUGUAGAUAUGGAUCUAGUUUUCAAAUUAAAAAAGACAAGCUGUCGAUACAGCCCACUUUCGGCUGUGAUUGAUGGGCUAAAAUUCUGAAGAGGCCUAAAAUUGUAACUGGCCGACCAAUACCUCAUGGGCUUGGCCCAUUGAUUGCGUUCUCGCCCGAAACAAGAUCUGAACCAUCGCCUCUUGAUCUGACGGUUCUGUUUCACAGAUCCUAGGGUUUUCUCUCCAUUCAUAGCAUAGCCGCCGUUAAAAGGCCCGGCUUCCUGGCACAUGAAGCAAAACCGGCGGAGGCAUUCUGCGGCGGACUCCUUGAUACCCUUAUCUCCCCUGGUUCUCGAUUCCUCCUCGUUUUUGUUAGCUUGCUUUGUUCAAGUUGUUUUCUCGUUGUGAUUUGUCUUCUUUGUUGCCUAUCGUUGUUUAAUCUUUGGAGCAGUGAUGAGACCAUGCGAGUAUGAUCUUUGAGAUGUGAUUAUCAAUCUCUACAUUGCUACGUUCUUGCUGAGCUCCUAGCGCCUUGAGCGCCGAUUCAGGGUUUAGGGCUUAAUCUGGUGUUACUUGGAGUAUUCGAAAACAGGGGACAAAAUCUUUUCUAGACUUCUUGUGCCGUCAGUUCGAUCUAUCCCCCUGAUGUCGUUUGUCUUUCGCCAUUUUUUUUUAAAAGUAAUUGUUUCUUUUUCGCCAAUAACAGGUAAGAGGGAUAAUAUAUCAGCAGUAGAGAUAAUUUCCCCAAUUGUCUGAUUAAUACAUGAUGACAUGCUGAGACUAGAUCUAGGACAACUACAGAAGAAUUCAACUAUCUUGCCACAGCCUUCAGAUACUCUGAUAUUAGCAUUCUCAUAGUCAUAGUCUCGAAAGACAACAGACUCUGUUAACCUAACAUGACUCUGGGACUCAACAGAACUAAGAAACAGAGCGUAGUCUUCGGAUCCAUCCACUCCACCCUCG